rnacentral:rRNA from 1 species
AUGCAAGUCGAACGGCAGCGCGGACUUCGGUCUGGCGGCGAGUGGCGAACGGGUGAGUAAUGUAUCGGAACGUGCCUAGUAGCGGGGGAUAACUACUCGAAAGAGUAGCUAAUACCGCAUACGCCCUACGGGGGAAAGGGGGGGAUCGCAAGACCUCUCACUAUUAGAGCGGCCGAUAUCGGAUUAGCUAGUUGGUGGGGUAAAGGCUCACCAAGGCGACGAUCCGUAGCUGGUUUGAGAGGACGACCAGCCACACUGGGACUGAGACACGGCCCAGACUCCUACGGGAGGCAGCAGUGGGGAAUUUUGGACAAUGGGGGAAACCCUGAUCCAGCCAUUCCGCGUGUGCGAUGAAGGCCUUCGGGUUGUAAAGCACUUUUGGCAGGAAAGAAAUCGCACGGGUUAAUAACCCGUGUGGAUGACGGUACCUGCAGAAUAAGCACCGGCUAACUACGUGCCAGCAGCCGCGGUAAUACGUAGGGUGCAAGCGUUAAUCGGAAUUACUGGGCGUAAAGCGUGCGCAGGCGGUUCGGAAAGAAGGAUGUGAAAUCCCAGGGCUUAACCUUGGAACUGCAUUCUUAACUACCGGGCUAGAGUAUGUCAGAGGGAGGUGGAAUUCCGCGUGUAGCAGUGAAAUGCGUAGAUAUGCGGAGGAACACCGAUGGCGAAGGCAGCCUCCUGGGAUAAUACUGACGCUCAUGCACGAAAGCGUGGGGAGCAAACAGGAUUAGAUACCCUG